ensembl:lncRNA
CAGAUCUAUCUUCACUUGAUUCGCCAGCCCUAUUAUUAGAAUUUGCUGAGCUUCCCCCUGCCUCAGGACCUUUGAACUUGCUCUUUUUGUACCUGGAAUGAUCUUCUCUCAAGUUUGCACAUGGCUCUCUGCUCUUGUUACUUGGUUCUCGUAAUGAAAAUAAGAUCCUCAGAGGGUCCUUUCCUGACCACCCUAACGCAGGAUUUCACAGCAGAAGAAAUUACUAUCACUGAUUUAGAGGAAGAAUGACAGAGAAAACACAUAUGUUGUGGAUUGACUUAUCUUGACCGCUCUUUUAAAAGCAAGAAGAAAGCAUUAUUGCUGAGACAGCUUCAAGGAGGUCUUUAGCAUGUAAAGAAAGCAUGCAAGAAUUAAUAGCAGUUGGGCUAAGACUUGGGAGAACCAAGGAAUUACGAGAAUAAAAAAGAAAAACAGAAACAGGUAAAUCCUGAUGGAGACACAAAAGGAUUUUGUGGCACCUUGCUGCUGACUCUUAAAUAUGGUACAACUUCUCAGUGAUAGUUACCUGGAUAUUCAGGGUCACUCGAUACACAAGGAAGAAGUUUCACAUCUUAAAGCAUCACAAGUCUUCCAGUCUGUGAUUGCAAUUCUUCCCCGAAAAGUCUCCAGUUC